ensembl:miRNA
UCUCUUGUGCUAAGGUGCAUCUAGUGCAGUUAGUGAAAUAGUUCAGAAUCUACUGCCCUAAAUGCCCCUUCUGGCACAAGCU